rnacentral:rRNA from 1 species
AGUCACGCUGUAAACGAUGUCGAUUUGGAGGUUGUUCCCUUGAGGAGUGGCUUCCGGAGCUAACGCGUUAAAUCGACCGCUGGGGAGUACGGCCGCAAGGUUAAAACUCAAAUGAAUUGACGGGGGCCCGCACAAGCGGUGGAGCAUGUGGUUUAAUUCGAUGCAACGCGAAGAACCUUACCUACUCUUGACAUCCAGAGAAUUUAGCAGAGAUGCUUUAGUGCCUUCGGGAACUCUGAGACAGGUGCUGCAUGGCUGUCGUCAGCUCGUGUUGUGAAAUGUUGGGUUAAGUCCCGCAACGAGCGCAACCCUUAUCCUUUGUUGCCAGCACGUUAUGGUGGGAACUCAAAGGAGACUGCCGGUGAUAAACCGGAGGAAGGUGGGGAUGACGUCAAGUCAUCAUGGCCCUUACGAGUAGGGCUACACACGUGCUACAAUGGCGUAUACAAAGAGAAGCGACCUCGCGAGAGCAAGCGGAACUCAUAAAGUACGUCGUAGUCCGGAUUGGAGUCUGCAGCUCGACUCCAUGAAGUCGGAAUCGCUAGUAAUCGUAGAUCAGAAUGCUACGGUGAAUACGUUCCCGGGCCUUGUACACACCGCCCGUCACACCAUGGGAGUGGGUUGCAAAAGAAGUAGGUAGCUUAACCUUCGGGAGGGCGCUUACCACUUUGUGAUUCAUGACUGGGGUGAAGUCGUAACAAGGUAACCA